UUUUCAAGCAGCUAUCAAAUCCCCAGAGCGCACCCGUCCCUGUAGCAAAAGGGUGGGAAGACUUGAAAAUAGAGGCAAAAAGCCAACCGAGCUUGGUGAUAGCUGGCUACUCAACAAAAGAAUUUAAGUUCAACUUUAGGCACUUACGAGCCAAUCAUUCAAUAAACUCACUUCCCAUAAACCUAAAGAAAAUCAAUGGGGGUACAGCCCCAUUGAACCGGAAUACAGCCCGAAUUGAGAGAACCCUCCCCCCUUUUUUCCUGUAGGCUUCAAAGCAGCCACCAAAAAUCGCGUUAUAGCAUAUCUACUAAACAAUUCUAACAACUUAAUAACCCUCCUAGCUUACAACGAGUUAUUCUAUCCUACUAUAGAAACACCAAUGCUAAAAUUAGUAAUAAGAAACACUUAUUUCUCUCUGCACCCCCUUAAAUCAGACUAGAAAAACUACUGACAAUUAACAAACCAAAUUAAACACACACUUAUCUAGCCAAAAUGUUAUUAAAAACUUGUUACCCCAACACAGGUGUGCAAAAAAGAAAGACAAAACCCCGUAAAAGGAACUCGGCAAAACUUAGCCCCAACUGUUUACCAAAAACAUAGCCUUUAGCCCCCCAAGUAUUAAAGGUCUCGCCUGCCCAGUGACUCUUUAAACGGCCGCGGUAUCCUAACCGUGCAAAGGUAGCAUAAUCACUUGUCCCUUAAAUAGGGACUGGAAUGAAUGGCUAAAUGAGGGUUAAACUGUCUCUUGCGGGUUGUCAAUGAAAUUGAUUUUCCAGUACAAAAGCUGGAAUAAACACAUAAGACGAGAAGACCCUGUGGAGCUUCAAAACCAAGUUCAUUAAAAAUGUUCCUUGGAUUUUUAGUUGGGGCGACUUUGGAGUAAAAAAAACCCUCCAAAACGUGAUUAAACCUCUAAUAUUAAGAACAACAAAUCAAAAACCACAAACAGACCCAGCAACAACCCUAAUGUUGUCUGACCAAUGAACCAAGUUACCCCAGGGAUAACAGCGCCAUCCCCUUCUAGAGUCCUUAUCGACAAGGGGGUUUACGACCUCGAUGUUGGAUCAGGACACCCCAAUGGUGCAGCCGCCAUUAAAGGUUCGUUUGUUCAACGAUUAAAGUCCUA
rnacentral:rRNA from 1 species